CUAUCUAACGACCAUAAUAGAAAUGCUCACAUUCCAUCAUAUAACAUUUAGCGAAAGCUGAUGUGACAUGAAACUAGUUGAUAUGAAAUCUUAAAUUCUAUUUUUUUUAUUUUUUUUCUUUUGGUUAGAAUUUUUACUUCCCAUUUCAUCUAUUUUUUUCACUACUAUCUCCUCUGAAAUCCCAUCAUCUUCUACACCACUAUCGGUAUCUUUACUUAUACCAUUGCUAAC
rnacentral:lncRNA from 1 species